rnacentral:rRNA from 1 species
GGGGAAUUUUGGACAAUGGGGGCAACCCUGAUCCAGCAAUGCCGCGUGAGUGAAGAAGGCCUUCGGGUUGUAAAGCUCUUUUGUUUGGGAAGAAAUCCCUAAGGAUAAUACCCUUGGGGGAUGACGGUACCAAAAGAAUAAGCACCGGCUAACUACGUGCCAGCAGCCGCGGUAAUACGUAGGGUGCAAGCGUUAAUCGGAAUUACUGGGCGUAAAGCGUGCGCAGGCGGUUUUGUAAGACAGGUGUGAAAUCCCCGAGCUCAACUUGGGAACUGCACUUGAGACUGCAAGACUAGAGUGUGGCAGAGGGAGGUAGAAUUCCACGUGUAGCAGUGAAAUGCGUAGAUAUGUGGAGGAAUACCAGUGGCGAAGGCGGCCUCCUGGGAUAACACUGACGCUCAUGUACGAGAGCGUGGGGAGCAAAC